CCCUUAGAUGUCCUGGGCUGCACGCGCGCUACACUGACACGUUCAACGAGUUUUGCCUGCUCCGAUGGGACUGGGUAAUCUUAUGAAAGCGUGUCGUGAUGGGGAUAGAUUAUUGCAAUUAUUAAUCUUCAACGAGGAAUUCCUAGUAAGUACAAGUCAUCAGCUUGUGCUGAUUACGUCCCUGCCCUUUGUACACACCGCCCGUCGCUCCUACCGAUUGGGUGAUCCGGUGAAUAACUCGGACUGCAGCUAUUCGAGAGACCGUUAGCUUGUGGAAAGUUUAGUAAAUCUUAUCACUUAGAGGAAGGAGAAGUCGUAACA
rnacentral:rRNA from 1 species